CGGAGCGGGGGCGGGGAGAGGUUGGCGGGGGCGCAUGCGUGUGAGCACGCAGCACGUCUGUGGGCGGCACUGCAGCCUGCAGAACCAGAAGCCUUGCUGUGGGAUGGGCUCUCUUCUGCCUCUGUCCCCCUCUGGCAGGAGCAAGGUGCUGAGGCUCUUCGCUGGGUUCACAGACGAGCUGGCUGGGGCUUGGACGUGCUGUGUGGCUUCCUAGUGACAGGGGGCAGCUGGCCGCUGAGCGCUCCGGAGGUGCGUCCUCCCAGGUAACCUCCGCUCCGUCUCGCAUCUUAGGUAUGACGGUUGUCUGCAUUUACGUUCCAGGGGACUGAGGCUGGCAGAGCAAGCGGCUCACUGACUGUAUUUAUGGCACAGGCCAGAAGGAGCAUCCCUGUUCUGUCCCUCGCCUGGCCAAGCAGUCACGUCACGGGCGCCCGGUCCCUGCGUGUCCGUGGGGCCAGGCUCUCUGGAGAGGCAGGUGUUCGUCCUGCAGCGUGAGGCCCGGCCGCUGGUGUGGACGCCUCCCGGAGUCCCCUCCCCUUCCAGCGCCUGCGCAGCCAUCAUGGAAGACGGGAGCGGGCCGGGCAGCCCCAGCGCCGUGUCCCUGGUUCCCAUGAUGCCGUCCCCAGCCCCGAGUACACGAUGGUCUCGGUCUUCCUCGUUCCUUGUGUGCGUCGUGGGCAUUGUGGGCAACGCCAUGGUGGUGCUGACCACACGGGACGUGCACACGCCCACCAACUGCUCCCUGGUCAGCCUGGCCCGGGCAGACCUUACUGUGCUGGUGGCUGCCGGGCUGCCCACC